rnacentral:snRNA from 1 species
GGACAUGAGGGUGAUAUAGCUGCAAUGUGUCACCCCACUGACCACCAGGGUUGAUUUGGCUGUAUUAAGUGUGUGUCCCUUCCUCCUUCACCACUCCAUUAUGUCCUUACCAAAGAUAUGCACUCAAUCAAUGUGGAAGACCUUCCCUGAUAGUGGAGGGAGGGCUAUCUUUUGGUCAACGGUAUGCUAGAACCUCCUCACAAGCUCUCAAGAAAUUGCUUUAUUGAGACAACAUUCACAUACGAGACAAUUCAUUAUUUAAAGCAUACAAUUCACAUGAACAUGUCAUACACAUAUGUA